CGCAGUGAGAAGCAUUUUGCUUGAGUUUGGCUGAACACACACCUUUCUUUAAAAUAUUGGAAGCGGAAUCCUACGGAUGAACUUUGGAAUAAAGUAACAACAAAACUACAUCAAUCAAAAAAAUACGCUUUGUGGAAAAAUAUUAAAUCAAUG